GACGAACGCUGGCGGCGUGCUUAACACAUGCAAGUCGAGGGCGGUAGCAAUACCGACCGGCGAACGGGUGCGUAACACGUGAGCAACCUACCGAGAUGUGGGGGAUAGCCGGCCCAACGGCCGGGUAAUACCGCAUACGCUCUUUCCACGGCAUUGUGGAUUGAGGAAACCUCCGGGGCGAUUUCGAGGGGCGUCGCGGCCUAUCAGCUAGUUGGCGGGGUAACGGCCCACCAAGGCAUCGACGGGUAGGCUGGUCUGAGAGGAUGGCCAGCCACAUUGGGACUGAGAAACGGCCCAGACUCCUACGGGAGGGCAGCAGUGGGGAAGUCUUGCGCAAUGGCCGAAAGGCUGACGCAGCGACGCCGCGUGUGGGA
rnacentral:rRNA from 1 species